rnacentral:rRNA from 1 species
ACGGGGUGCAGCAGGCGCGAAAACUUCACACUGUGCGAAAGCGCGAUGAGGGAAUCCCAAGUGUUUGCUCGUAAGAGUAAACUGUUUCUUUGUUUAAAACGCAUUGAGAGUAAGGGCUGGGUAAGACGGGUGCCAGCCGCCGCGGUAAUACCUGCAGCUCGAGUGGUGGCCGCUAUUAUUGGGCCUAAAACGUCCGUAGCCGGUUUAGUAAAUGCCUGGGUAAAUCGUGUAGCUCAACUAUACGAAUUCCGGGUAGACUGCUAAACUUGAGACCGGGAGAAGUUAGAGGUACUCCUGGGGUAGAGGUGAAAUUCUGUAAUCCUAGGGGGACCACCAGUGGCGAAGGCGUCUGACUAGAACGGGUCUGACGGUGAGGGACGAAGCCCUGGGGCGCGAACCGGAUUAGAUACCCGGGUAGUCCAGGGUGUAAACGCUACUUGCUUGAUGUUGGUUGGGCUCCGAGCCCAAUCAGUGUCGGAGAGAAGUUGUUAAGCAAGCUGCCUGGAAGUACGUCGCAAGAC